GCUGGGCAUGGUGGCGCAUGCGCUGUAGUCCCAGCUACUCGGGAGGCUGAGACAGGAGAAUCACUUGAACCCAGGAGGUGGAGGUUGCAGUGAGACAGGAUAGCAGCACUGCACACUCCAGCCUGGGUGACAGAGUGAGACUCUGUCUCAA
rnacentral:SRP_RNA from 1 species